rnacentral:sRNA from 1 species
AUUUAGCAAAUCUAAAGGAUAGUAGUGAAAAUCCUUUUUAUGGCAGUGUUUGCCAUAAAAGAUUGUAACGGAUAGCGGGACGACUC